GUAGGUGGCAAGCGUUGUCCGGAAUUAUUGGGCGUAAAGCGCGCGCAGGCGGUUCUUUAAGUCUGAUGUGAAAGCCCACGGCUCAACCGUGGAGGGUCAUUGGAAACUGGAGAACUUGAGUACAGAAGAGGAAAGCGGAAUUCCACGUGUAGCGGUGAAAUGCGUAGAGAUGUGGAGGAACACCAGUGGCGAAGGCGGCUUUCUGGUCUGUAACUGACGCUGAGGCGCGAAAGCGUGGGGGAGCAAACAGGAUUAGAUACCCUGGUAGUCCACACCGUAAACGAUGAGUGCUAAGUGUUAGGGGGUUUCCGCCCCUUAGUGCUGCAGCUAACGCAUUAAGCACUCCGCCUGGGAGUACGGCCGCAAGGCUG
rnacentral:rRNA from 1 species